CUGGGACAUGCCUGUGCUGUUGCUGUGCCCACUUCUUUGGACCCCAAACGUUUGUUAAACGUCUUUCCUUUGGGAGUCAGUCAGCAACUGAAGACAAAUUUGCAGAGCAAUUCCCAGCUGACCUGCAAGCAGUUUUCAUUUCAAAUUCCAUCAACUCCUGACAAUGCUCCUCUGCUCAGCAAGGAAAACCAGGAUUGUUUGGACCAGCAGUUCCGCAGGAAAACAAAGCCAGGGCUUUGGGUGGUUCAAUUGAACGUCCUGGGGAAGACGCAUUACUGCCCCGAAAGAUUAAAUGGGAUAUUAUGAAGACAUCGUCUUUCAAGUGAGAUAUAAAAUCACAACACGAGCUAAUUGUUGGCAGAGGGAUUUUGUGCUUGUCUUUUUGCAGCAGUCAGGGUAUCAGUUAGAGGGUUGUAGCCAGAUUUCACCUCCUUUCUACCCGCAGAGAUUUCAGGCUAUGUACAUAAAGAAAUGCUUCAUUUUCUAUAGUGUUGUUUCAGGCGGCAUCAGCUACCAGCAGCUGCUGGCCCUGAUUUUUGUCUGUGCUCUGUAUUUUUCUGUAGUCAUUUUGUUGAGUUUAUGCAAAGAUUUGGAGCAAAAUCCUGGCCCAAGUGAGAUCGCUGCUAAAGUUUCCAUGGGCUUCACUAAAGGCAGGAUUUCUCUCAGAGGAUUAAAGCAGAAGGAUGUAAAACUGCUACUAGUGAGAGAAAACUGAAGGGUGAUUUCCUCAUCCGGCAUCGACAUCUUCUGAAAGGUGCUCUGAGCACAUUGCAGUUUCCUCACUAUUUAUGCGUGAUUCGCAGCUAUUUGGCAGCUCUGUUUGGGCACUUCUUGCAGGGAUUUGAGAGCAAAAGCCAUUUUGGUUCAUUUCAUUAAGCACCUCAAUUCAGGGAUUUACUUCUAAUCCUCCAACGAAAAUAUCACUGGGAACAGAGUUUCUCCUGCGAUGUUUGUGUUCAUAAACUGAUGAAAGCCGUCACUUGCCAGGAACAUCCACUAUUAUUUACUUACAGUUUUCUAUUUCCACAGACUUUUUAGCAGUGCUUCCGUCCCUCGCAGCCUGCCUGGGUCUGGCCACAGGAGGGAUUCAAACUGCACAUUCGGUUCAAAAUCAGAAAGGAGUUGCUCAAGCCUAAAUAAAAGCAUGCAUCCUGCAGCUUAGGGAGGGGGAAAGUUAUUUGCUUGUUAAGGUGAUUGUAGUAAUUAUUAUUGAACAGCUUUUACUCCCCGUUCAUAUGCAUAAACAUCAGCCAUGGGUAAGAAAGAGAUGCUUGAUUAAUGUGGGGUGGUUUGGGGCCUACCCCCAGGUAGGUAACAGCGCAAGAUGGCAUUUCUCAUUGCACACAGUUUAAAUCGGGGGAUGCUCAGCCAGAUUCCCCACCAAAACUGGACUUUCCCAAGUGCUCCUUUUGAAAACUUCCGUGAAAUGAAAAAGGGAAAAUGCCCCCUUUGUCCACCAGGUGGCACGGGAAUCCCCUCUGGAAACAGCCUGGAAUAUUAAUGCAGCUAAUACCUUUGUCGCAGGGACCGAGGCUCCCACCAGCAGCCACGGGCGAAAAUCACCACUCUUCAGAGCACAGCCAGAAUGACAGGGGUAAGGUGAGGAUGCCAGGGACCCAUAGAAGAGGAAUGCAAGGACAGGGAGCAGUGAUGGGAUACGGAAAUCAGGAACAAUGAUGGGGUGCAGAGAUGGGGGCGGUGAUGCCUGGUUCACCGUUCGUGGCCACACGGAGAUGGAGCAAUGUGCGAAAUAAGGAAGGGUUGAUACAAACAAAGCAUUCAUGGCUAAGGAGAGGGAAUUGUGCAAUCUUCCUGGGACAUAAGGCGCUGCUGUGGUUAAACUCAGCUGGAGGGAACAGCUAACAGAGGAGAGAAGGUUUCUGGGAAGAGCAGGAGGCUGCUGCCGGUAGCAAAAUAUGGAUGCACAAUCAAAGACAGAGAAGGAAGAGAGGAGAGGGUGGACGUCCCUGGAAACAUGAGUAAGGACAGGGAAGAAAACACGCACAUCCCAAGCUCAGCCAUGGGGGCUGCACACUGUGGAUCCAGCUGCAGCCAGCUGCUGGGCUGCCCAGGCUCUGCUCAGCUAAGCUCAGCUCUGCAGCCCUUGCCCUGGGCUGAGCAUGGAGAGUUUUAGCAAGGCAAUCAGAGGGUUUCUGCAUCUUCGAUUAUCUCAGUUAAAGCAUCUGAGUAGGAAAACACAGUGCAGGAGCAGAGGGUGAGGUGCAAAAGAGGCAAAAGCACUGAUUUCUGUACAGACCAAGGGGAAUUAAAUAUGUAAAAAGGUAACUUGCCUUUCAGACUCAGGCACUUUCUGGGCACUGAGAGCAGGACAGCCCAUGGCCAUCCCUUCCCAUCCCACGGGCCAGAGCCUGGCAUUGCUGGGGCAACCAGACCUCCAUCCACAACUGACGCCCCAGCAAAGCCCCUGGCAGGUGCCAGUGGGCAAGAAGAGCUUGAGGGCAGCAUUUUGGGAACAUGUAGGGUCCCCCCAGGUAACCCCAGGUUAUGGAAGAGGUGCCUGGAAUGAAGGGAGAGCUUAGGAGAGGGCGGAAGCAGAGAGGCAGCAACCAGCCUGGUGACAGCAGCAGCAUUCAGGCAAAAAAGCAUUUAGGGAUAAAAUAUAAGCCUGAUGUGCACAAAUGAAACCGGCCUGACAUUGCUGGGGGAAACAUCAGUCCUGCAUGUGCCACCCCCCUUAGGAGCAACUGAGCUGGUGCCCAUCUGCACUGCACAGGGGAUGCAGAAGAAAAACAUCAACGGAGUAAACCAGUAGGAACCCAGCGAAUUCAA